GAUGAACGCUGGCGGCGUGCCUAAUACAUGCAAGUCGAGCGAACGGACGAGAAGCUUGCUUCUCUGAUGUUAGCGGCGGACGGGUGAGUAACACGUGGAUAACCUACCUAUAAGCCUGGGAUAACUUCGGGAAACCGGAGCUAAUACCGGAUAAUAUUUUGAACCGCAUGGUUCAAAAGUGAAAGACGGUCUUGCUGUCACUUAUAGAUGGAUCCGCGCUGCAUUAGCUAGUUGGUAAGGUAACGGCUUACCAAGGCAACGAUGCAUAGCCGACCUGAGAGGGUGAUCGGCCACACUGGAACUGAGACACGGUCCAGACUCCUACGGGAGGCAGCAGUAGGGAAUCUUCCGCAAUGGGCGAAAGCCUGACGGAGCAACGCCGCGUGAGUGAUGAAGGUCUUCGGAUCGUAAAACUCUGUUAUUAGGGAAGAACAUAUGUGUAAGUAACUGUGCACAUCUUGACGGUACCUAAUCAGAAAGCCACGGCUAACUACGUG
rnacentral:rRNA from 1 species